rnacentral:rRNA from 1 species
AAUAUUGCACAAUGUUCUAAAGCCUGAUGCAGCAACGCCUCGUGAGUGAUUAAGGCCUUUGGGUCGUAAAGCUCUUUGGUCAGGGAUGAUAAAGACAGUACCUGAAAUAUAAGCCACGGCUAACAUCGUGCAAGCAGCCGUUGUAAUACGUAGGUGGCUAGCGUUGUCCGGAAUUACUGGGCGUAAAGGAUGCGUAGGUGGAUACUUAAGUGGGAUGUGAAAUCCCCGGGCUCAACCCGGGAACUGCAUUCCAAACUGGGUAUCUAGAGUGCAGGAGAGGAAAGCGGAAUUCCUAGUGUAGCGGUGAAAUGCGUAGAUAUUAGGAGGAACACCAGUGGCGAAGGCGGCUUUCUGGACUGUAACUGACACUGAGGCAUGAAAGCGUGGGUAGCAAACAGG